AGUGGCGGACGGGUGAGUAACACGUUGGAACCUACCCCGAAGUGAGGAAUAACUGCCCGAAAGGGUAGCUAAUACCUCAUAGUCUCCGAUUUAUUCGGAGUAAAGAUUUAUCGCUUCGGGAGGGGCCUGCGUCCGAUUAGCUAGUUGGUGAGGUAAAUGCUCACCAAGGCGACGAUCGGUAGCUGGUUUGAGAGGAUGACCAGUCACACUGGGACUGAGAUACGGCCCAGACUCCUACGGGAGGCAGCAGUAAGGAAUCUUCCACAAUGGGGGCAACCCUGAUGGAGCAAUACCGCGUGCAGGAUGAAGCGUUUCGGCGUGUAAACUGCUUUUAUCUGUGAUGAUUAUGACAGUAGCAGAAGAAUAAGGAUCGGCUAACUACGUGCCAGCAGCCGCGGUAAUACGUAGGAUCCAAGCGUUAUCCGGAAUUACUGGGCGUAAAGCGUCUGUAGGCGGCUUUUUAAGUCGGGUGCGAAAUCUUGCGGCUCAACCGUAUAGACUGUGCUCGAAACUAUUAAGCUAGAGGUAGGUAGAGGCGAGUGGAAUUUCUGGUGUAGGAGUGACAUCCGUAGAUAUCAGAAGGAACACCAAUGGCGAAGGCAGCUUGCUGGGCCUUACCUGACGCUCAGAGACGAAAGCGUGGGGAGCGAACGGGAUUAGAUACCCCGGUAGUCCACGCCGUAAACGAUGAUCACUAGUAGUAUGGAGAUUCGACCCUUUGUGCUACGAAGCUAACGCGAUAAGUGAUCCGCCUGGGGAGUACGAGCGCAAGCUUAAAACUCAAAGGAAUUGACGGGGACCCGCACAAGCAGAGGAGGAUGUGGUUUAAUUCGAAGCUACGCGAAGAACCUUACCGAGGCUUGACAUCCCGCGAAGGUCUGGGAAACUAGACUGUGCCUUCGGGAACGCGGUGACAGAUGCUGCAUGGCCGUCGUCAGCUCGUGUCGUGAGAUGUUGGGUUAAGUCCCGCAACGAGCGCAACCCUCGUGAUUAGUUAUAUUUUCUAAUCAGACCGCCCGGGCCAACCGGGAGGAAGGUGGGGAUGACGUCUGGUCAGCAUGGCUCUUACGCCUCGGGCUACACACGUCCUACAAUGGCCACUACAACGCGUUGCCAAACCGCAAGGUGGAGCUAAUCGCAUCAAAAGUGGUCCCAGUUCGGAUUGAGGGCUGAAACUCGCCCUCAUGAAGUCGGAUUUGCUAGUAAUGGCAGGUCAGCAAUACUGCCGUGAAUACGUUCCCGGGUCUUGUACACACCGCCCGUCAAAUCACGAAAGUUGGGAGUACCCGAAGUAUCCAUUAGGAUCCUAAGGUAAAUCCAGCGAUUGGGGUUAAGUCGUAACAAGGUA
rnacentral:rRNA from 1 species